AGAGUUUGAUCCUGGCUCAGGACGAACGCGGCGGCGUGCUAACACAUGCAAGUCGAGCGGGGAGAGAUUUUCGGAUUUCUCUUAGCGGCGGACGGGUGAGUAACACGUGGGUAACCUGCCUCAAAGUGGGGGAUAGCCUUCCGAAAGGAAGAUUAAUACCGCAUAAUAUCAUAGCGCUGCAUGGCGCUGUGAUCAAAGGAGCAAUCCGCUUUGAGAUGGACCCGCGGCGCAUUAGCUAGUUGGUGAGGUAACGGCCCACCAAGGCGACGAUGCGUAGCCGACCUGAGAGGGUGAUCGGCCACAUUGGAACUGAGACACGGUCCAGACUCCUACGGGAGGCAGCAGUGGGGAAUAUUGCACAAUGGGGGAAACCCUGAUGCAGCAACGCCGCGUGAGUGAUGAAGGCCUUCGGGUCGUAAAGCUCUUUGAUCAGGGACGAUAAUGACGGUACCUGAAAAACAAGCCACGGCUAACUACGUGCCAGCAGCCGCGGUAAUACGUAGGUGGCGAGCGUUGUCCGGAUUUACUGGGCGUAAAGAAUGCGUAGGUGGAUAUUUAAGUGGGAUGUGAAAUCCCCGGGCUCAACCCGGGAACUGCAUACCAAACUGGAUAUCUGGAGUGCAGGAGAGGAAAGCGGAAUUCCUAGUGUAGCGGUGAAAUGCGUAGAUAUUAGGAGGAACACCAGUGGCGAAGGCGGCUUUCUGGACUGUAACUGACACUGAGGCAUGAAAGCGUGGGGAGCAAACAGGAUUAGAUACCCUGGUAGUCCACGCCGUAAACUAUGGGUACUAGGUGUAGGGGGUAUCGACUCCCCCUGUGCCGCCGUUAACACAAUAAGUACCCCGCCUGGGGAGUACGGUCGCAAGACUAAAACUCAAAGGAAUUGACGG
rnacentral:rRNA from 1 species